rnacentral:rRNA from 1 species
AUUGAACGCUGGCGGCAUGCUUUACACAUGCAAGUCGAACGGUAACAGGCCGCAAGGUGCUGACGAGUGGCGAACGGGUGAGUAAUGCAUCGGAACGUGCCCAGUCGUGGGGGAUAACGCAGCGAAAGCUGUGCUAAUACCGCAUACGAUCUAUGGAUGAAAGCGGGGGACCGUAAGGCCUCGCGCGAUUGGAGCGGCCGAUGUCAGAUUAGGUAGUUGGUGGGGUAAAGGCCUACCAAGCCGACGAUCUGUAGCUGGUCUGAGAGGACGACCAGCCACACUGGGACUGAGACACGGCCCAGGCUCCUACGGGAGGCAUCAGUGGGGAAUUUUGGGCAAUGGGCGCAAGCCUGAUCCAGCAAUGCCGCGUGCAGGAAGAAGGCCUUCGGGUUGUAAACUGCUUUUGUACGGAACGAAACGGUCUGGGUUAAUACCCUGGGCUAAUGACGGUACCGUAAGAAUAAGCACCGGCUAACUACGUGCCAGCCGCCGCCGUAACAC